UGGGUCACGUUGGCCAGGUGCCGGUUGGGCCGCAUGUGGCGCUGCGGGAAGGUCUCCCGGCACUGCGGGCACGACACGUCGGUCUCCGCCGCGCCCCAGCAGCGGGCCUCUCUUUAUUUUAAUUUCCGUUGUUACACCUUGACCGAAGUUAUUUCAACACUGUCAGAUUGCAGACGUUUUAAGGUGAACCGGGAAGACUCCAGGCCCUGGGGCCUCAACCCAGCCCCGCCCAAAGAUGUCACCAAAGGUUCUUGGUCUCAUCAGGAGAAAGAAUUCAAGGGCAGAGGCAACACAGUGGAGGAGCAACACAGCAGGAGAGUUUAUUGAAGACAGAGUUGGGAGAGCCGGAGACAGGGAUGGAUGGAGAGAGCUGCCUGUAGGCGGAGAGCCAGAGGACACAGGGUGCAAGCCUGUUAGCUGCACGCCCUGGGCCUGGAAUGUGCACGAGAUGAUAGGAGCUUGAGCGGCUGUCCUGGACCAAGAAGCAAUCUGGAACACCAGAAGCCGACUAGGAGGGUGCAGUGGAAAGGUGACUAAGCCUGGGUCCUUACACACUGCAGAGUGUCUGCAGCAGGCUUCAUGGUCCGCUAAAGCCACUGUCUUAUUUAAGCCACUUACUUGGAUUGUCUGCAUAUGCAACUAAAACCAACCC